rnacentral:lncRNA from 1 species
CCAGCCUCUGAGGUGUAUUCUGACCCCAAGAGGACCCUUCUUAGCUGUCUCUUUCCCUGGGGUUCUCUAAGGUCCUGCAACUGCUUUGAUGAGAUCCAGGUGUAGUUCUUAACUAGUUUGGCAACUUUUACCUCCUUCAUCUUGGCAUCCUACGCCACAAGUAAGAAGUCUAGGCCAUGUAGAGGAUGACAGCUGCAAGACAUACGAGUUAAAAAGCCUCAUGGGACCUCCAGCCCAGUCAAUCUUUCAGAUGAAUCCAGUCCCAGCUGCAACCCCUGAAAUGAUAUCAAGGAUCCCAAGCAUGAACCACCAAGCUAAGUCUGGUCAACCCACAGAACUAUGAAAUACAGUAAUAAAUUGAUGUUUUGAAGUGCUAAGUUUUGGAGCGGUUUGUUAUACAGCAAUAGAAAACUGGAACAGCUAUAUAUUUUGUUAGUUUUUAGUGGUUACCCAGGAGAUUACAACAUGUAUUCUUGACUUAUUAGAAUCUAUAUUAAAUAUAGUUUCACAAUAAUGCAUUUUUAUUCAGUUUAAAUAUUUUCUAACAUCCCUUGAGACAUCUUUUAUGAUCCAAAGACUAUUAGAAGUGUAUUGCUUAGUUUCCAAGCAAUUGGUUGAUAGUGUUGUUGAGUUUUUCUGUAUCUUCCUGAUUUUUCUAUUUGUUCUAUCAAUUACUGAGUGAGGAAUGUUGACAUCUCUAACUGUAAUUGUGCAUUUGUCUGUUUUUUUCCUUUUAGUUCUGUCAAAUUUUUGCUUCGUAUGUUUUGAAGGUCUGUUGUUUGGUCUAUACACAUUUAGGGACAGUAUGUCUUCUUGGUGAAUUGACCAUUUUAUCAUUAUGUUAUGUUCCCUCAUUAUCCUAGGUAACUUUUAUUUUGCUUAGAUAUCUGCUUUAAUAUUGAUAUAUCAACUUUGCCUUUCUUUUAAUUAGUGUUUGUGUCAUUUAUCUUUUUGUGUACUUCUCCUUUUUACCUACUUGUAUAAUUGUAUUUGAAGUGAAUGUCUUGUAGACAGCAUAUACUUGUGUUUUUAUCCAUUCAGCAAAUCUCUGUUUUAAAAUUGUUGUGUAUGCAUUUUUGUUGAGUAUAUAAUUACAGUGGACUUGUUAAACAAUAUGAAUGCAUGUGUUCAGAGUUUGUAGAUUCUGUCAGUUUUCCAAAGUGGUUUUACCACUUUUACUUCAACUAGCAAGGAGUGAGAGUUCCAUUUGUUCCAUAUCUUAACUGUUGGCAUUGUCAGAUUGAUAAAAUUUUAGUUAUUCUGGUUGGUAGGUGGUAAUAUCUCAUUUCAAACUCAGCUAUCACUCUUUUAUUUACCUCCUCUCUUCAUAGAUUGUGGUUUAGUAUUAAUGACGUCUCAUGGUUCUAACUGCAUUAUUGCCUGUUUUCCUGUUUAUACCACUUCUGUUUUUUAAGUCUCAUUUCUAUUACCAAAUACCACCUACUAUUAUUGUUCCUG